CAGGUUAUAGUUAAAAUUAUAACAGUUCUCUUACGCUGAGCUAUUAUUCGUGGAAGUCGAAUUAAUCUGA
rnacentral:tRNA from 1 species